rnacentral:lncRNA from 1 species
GCCCACUGAUGGGAUUGUGACAUAUACCUAGGUCCAGCUCACAGGCAUGAUGAUAACUGUCAUACGUGGACCCAGCCAAUAAGAGAUUUUUGCUCUUAGGCUUAUUACAACAGAAGGCGUUGUAACAUCUCACUAAGCCCAGCACUCAGGCGAUGUGGCUUUCCUGCUAUGGCACUGCACACAAGAAGAAUGUUGACAUAUUCCUGGCCCAGAAUUCAGGUUGUAUUGUGCCAUAUACCUGGGACCAAAUUACAAGCACAAUGAUGAAUCUUUUACCUGGAGUCAAGACAUGGGCAGGAUGAUGGAACUUAUCACUGGACCUUUCCACAGUGUUAUUGUGACAUAUGCCUUUGCCCAACAUGUGGUGAUUUGACUCCCCAGACUGGGUCCAGUUCACAAAUAAAAUUGUGCCGUAUACUUGGC